rnacentral:rRNA from 13 species
GUCAAGCUACAAAGGGCUCACGGCGGAUACCUUGGCACACAGAGGCGAUGAAGGACGUGGUUACCUGCGAUAAGUCUCGGGGAGCUGGAAACACGCUUUGAUCCGGGAAUUUCCGAAUGGGGCAACCCCUAGAACGGCCAGCUGAAUCUAUAGGCUGGCGCGAGCCAACCCAGCGAACUGAAACAUCUUAGUAGCUGGAGGAAAGGAAAGUAAAAACGACUCCCUAAGUAGCGGCGAGCGAACGGGGAAGAGCCUAAACCAAUGGUUUCGACCAUUGGGGUUGUGGGACAGCAAUGUGGAUCAGGAAUGUUAGUGGAAGUGUUUGAAAGACACGCCACAGAGGGUGAAAGCCCCGUACACGAAAACUGAACUGACCUAGCUGUAUCCCGAGUAGCACGGAGCACGUGGAAUUCCGUGUGAAUCAGCGAGGACCACCUCGUAAGGCUAAGUACUCCUGUGUGACCGAUAGCGAAACAGUACCGCGAGGGAAAGGUGAAAAGAACCCCGGGAGGGGAGUGAAAUAGAACAUGAAACCGUGAGCCUACAAGCAAUGGGAGCCCUACUAAUAGGGUGACCGUGUGCCUGUUGAAGAAUGAGCCGGCGACUUAUAUAUUCUGGCUUGGUUAAUUUAUGAAAUAUUGAAUCCUUAACGAAAGUAAGUCAAAAAAAGGCAUUUGUCAGUAUAUAUAGACCCGAACUCAAAUGAUCUAACCAAAAGCAGAAUAAAAUUUUAAUAAAAUGAAGUGGAGGUUCGAACUGUCUAAUAUUGCAAAAUUAGCAGAUGACUUUUGGUUAGGGGUGAAAUGCCAAUCGAAUUUGAUGCUAGCUGGUUCUCUUCGAAAUGUGUUUAGGCACAGCAAUAAAUGUUUUUUAUUAGGGGUAAAGCACUGUUUUAUGAUACAUUAGUAAUAAGAGUUUAUUAAGACAAACUAAGAAUACUAGUUCUGUAAUUUAUUAGUUAGACAUUGUGGGAUAAGCUUCAAUGUCAAAAGGGAAACAGCCCAGAUCACCAUCUAAGGUCCUAAAAUAAUUGCUAAGUGUAAAAGGACGUAUGUCAACUUUAACAAUCAGGAGGUUCGCUUAGAAGCAGCAAUCCUUUAAAAAAUGCGUAAUAGCUUACUGAUUUAGUAGAUAUGCACCAAAAAUAAUUGGGGCUAAGUAAUUUACCGAAGUUGUGAGAUAUUAAUUAUAUCGGUAGAAGAGCGUUCUGUUAUAGAUUGAAGCAUAAAUGAAAAUAUAUGUGGACAAUACAGAAGUGAGAAUGUCGGCUUGAGUAACGAAAACAUUAGUGAGAAUCUAAUGCUCCUAAAACUUAAAGUUUCCUUUGCUAGAUUCGUUCACAAAGGGUUAGUCUGAUCCUAAGAUAAGGUCAAAUGGCGUAGUUAAUGGAAAAUAGGUCAAUAUUCCUAUACUAUUUUUUAUAAAUAAUAAAUAACGAAAUAAACUAACUUUUCCGAGUAUUGG